rnacentral:rRNA from 1 species
GGCGUCAGAGUGAACCGCUGGCGGCAGGCCUAACACAUGCGAAGUCGAACGGCAGCGACACGGGGAAGCUUGCUCCCUGGGUGGCGAGUGGGCGGACGGGUGAGGAAUGCGUCGGAAUCUGCCUUUUCGUGGGGGAUAACGUAGGGAAACUUACGCUAUACCGCAUGCGACCCUGCACCGGGAGGUGCUGGGUGAAAGCGGGGGGACCCUUCGGGCCUCGCGCGGAAAGAUGAGCCGACGCCGGAUUAGCUAGUUGGCGGGGUAACGGCCCACCAAGGCGACGAUCCGUAGCUGGUCUGAGAGGAUGAUCAGCCACACUGGAACUGAGACACGGUCCAGACUCCUACGGGAGGCAGCAGUGGGGAAUAUUGGACAAUGGGCGCAAGCCUGAUCCAGCCAUGCCGCGUGAGUGAAGAAGGCCUUCGGGUUGUAAAGCUCUUUUGUUGGGAAAGAAAAGCUUUCGGUUAAUAACCGGGAGUUCUGACGGUACCCCAAAGAAUAAGCACCGGCUAACUUCGUGCCAGCCGCCGCGGUAAUAC